rnacentral:rRNA from 1 species
UAGGGGGCAAGCGUUAUCCGGAUUUACUGGGUGUAAAGGGAGUGUAGACGGCAUGGCAAGUCUGAAGUGAAAGCCCGGGGCUCAACCGCGGGACUGCUUUGGAAACUGUUAAGCUGGAGUGCAGGAGAGGUAAGUGGAAUUCCUAGUGUAGCGGUGAAAUGCGUAGAUAUUAGGAGGAACACCAGUGGCGAAGGCGGCUUACUGGACUGUAACUGACGUUGAGGCUCGAAAGCGUGAGGAGCAA